AAUAAUAAAAGUACUGAGCAUCAUUACACUGAUAACAUUGUCUUUCUCUGACAUCUCCACCUCAAAUCAUCUAUGUUUUUACCUUCCAGCUCAUAAUGUGGAAGUAAGUGCUUCUGGCUCAUGCCGCUGAGCGCAGUCCCAGCCAGGGUCCAGGCCGGAGCCUUUGGGGCAGAGGGAGUUGCACCAGAAAUCUGCUUAAUAGCAUUUGGCUGUGGACAGUUUGCAGUCUGAGAGGGGGCUGAGGGAAGUGAACGGCAGAACCCAAACUUCCAGCAGCCCGCCCGGCCCUCUGCAUUCAGAAAAGCACGGACUGAGCUGACGUUGUGAAACAAGGUACGUGGGCUAAGCCUGAAUUGCUCCAGGACUAAGCCUGAAUUGCUCCAGGACUAAGCCUGAAUUGCUCCGGGACUAAGCCUUCACCGAGGGGGGAUUACACAGGUAUUACUCCAAAGCCGGUGUCUCCCCUGCUGCGUGUGCCCCAGGACGCAGGGCUGUACUCCGGCAUGGCCACCGCUCGCCCACCCCAGGGUGCCUCCGCCCUUCCCUUCAUCCGGGCACCCUCCGGGUCCUUCCACCUCUGUUCUGGGAAAACCAGGGAGCAGACGGCUGCAGAGAUGUUUUCACAGUGAAUAACAGGAGUUCCCACUCUCCACG